CGGACGGGUGAGUAACGCGUGAGAAUCUGCCUAGAGGUUGGGGACAACCACUGGAAACGGUGGCUAAGACCCAAUGUGCCGCAACGUGAAAGAUUUAUCGCCUCUAGAUGAGCUCGCGUCUGAUUAGCUAGUUGGUGAGGUAAAAGCUCACCAAGGCGACGAUCAGUAGCUGGUCUGAGAGGAUGACCAGCCACACUGGGACUGAGACACGGCCCAGACUCCUACGGGAGGCAGCAGUGGGGAAUUUUCCGCAAUGGGCGAAAGCCUGACGGAGCAAGACCGCGUGAGGGAGGAAGGCUCUUGGGUUGUAAACCUCUUUUCUCAGGGAAGAACACGAUGACGGUACCUGAGGAAUCAGCCUCGGCUAACUCCGUGCCAGCAGCCGCGGUAAUACGGAGGAGGCAAGCGUUAUCCGGAAUUAUUGGGCGUAAAGCGUCCGUAGGUGGUCAUGUAAGUCGGUCGUCAAAGCACAGGGCUUAACCCUGUAAUGGCGGUGGAAACUGCAUGACUAGAGAGAGGUAGGGGUAGAGGGAAUUCCCAGUGUAGCGGUGAAAUGCGUAGAGAUUGGGAAGAACAUCGGUGGCGAAAGCGCUCUACUGGACCUCAUCUGACGCUGAUGGACGAAAGCUAGGGGAGCGAAUGGGAUUAGAUACCCCAGUAGUC
rnacentral:rRNA from 1 species